GGAGAUGGUAAAAAUGGAUACAGUAUCAUAAAGCCUGUACUUGAUGGUGUACACUCCAGCAUUAUGGAGAGGCUGAGUUUGGAAGAAUGGAACAUGACGUGAUAUACAAAUCUUUCCUUAUGGACUAAGAUUCAUUACUGUAAAUUUGUGGAGAAUUGGAUUAAAUUCAAACUAGAAGUUGAAGCUGCACAUAGGGGAAUAGUACCUAAUUUGUACUGGCCACGACCAUGAUUUAACAUUUUAACAAUCAUAUAAGUAGAAUCAGAUUUCUCAGCAGGGGAGCACAUAUAAGGAAUUGGAGAAGCCUAUUGGAAUUACAGUGAUUCAAUAUAAAUGAAAUCCCAGCUGGCAUCAGUACAAGACUGCUGUGAAGAAUCGCUUUAUUUAAAGCCACUUCUAUCACUUGGUCAAGCGCUGUUAAAAAGGAGGAAAAAGGCUGUGGGAAAAAAGUAUGGUCCCUGGAGGAGCAACAGCAGUGUGAUUGUGGAGAUUGUUAGCCAUGUAGAAAGGCUGCCAAGAUCCCAGCCAGACCACUGUGUCAGAACCUGCUUUGUAACCAGAU